AUUGAACGCUGGCGGCAUGCCUUACACAUGCAAGUCGAACGGUAGCGGGUCCUUCGGGAUGCCGACGAGUGGCGAACGGGUGAGUAAUAUAUCGGAACGUGCCCAGUAGUGGGGGAUAACUGCUCGAAAGAGCAGCUAAUACCGCAUACGACCUGAGGGUGAAAGGGGGGGAUCGCAAGAGCUCUCGCUAUUGGAGCGGCCGAUAUCAGAUUAGCUAGUUGGUGGGGUAAAGGCCUACCAAGGCAACGAUCUGUAGUUGGUUUGAGAGGACGACCAGCCACCCUGGGACUGAGACACGGCCCAGACUCCUACGGGAGGCAGCAGUGGGGAAUUUUGGACAAUGGGCGCAAGCCUGAUCCAGCAAUGCCGCGUGCAGGAAGAGGGCCUUCGGGUUGUAAACUGCUUUUGUCAGGGAAGAAAUCUUCUGGGCUAAUACCCCGGGAGGAUGACGGUACCUGAAGAAUAAGCACCGGCUAACUACGUGCCAGCCGCCGCGGUAA
rnacentral:rRNA from 1 species